UUUCCGUAGGUGAACCAGCGGAAGGAUCAUUACAGAGAUCGUGCCCUUCGGGGUAGACCUCCCACCCUGUGUUAUUUACGUAUGUUGCUUUGGCGGGCCGCCUCCGGGCUCUCGGCUUCGGCCGAGGUGUGCCCGCCAGAGAACCCACAACCCUGUGUUUAGUGUCGUCUGAGUAUUAUCAAAUAAGUUAAAACUUUCAACAACGGAUCUCUUGGUUCUG
rnacentral:misc_RNA from 1 species